CGAGACGUAGCUAUAACUUAAAGUAUUCAGCUUACACCUGAAAGAUAUCUACUACACUAGAUCGUCUCGA
rnacentral:tRNA from 1 species